rnacentral:rRNA from 1 species
UACGGAGGGUGCAAGCGUUGUCCGGAAUCACUGGGCGUAAAGGGCGCGUAGGCGGCUCAUGAAGGCUGUGGUGAAAGUCCGGGGCUCAACCUCGGAUCGGCCGUGGCGACUCGUGGGCUGGAGCACUGUAGAGGCGGGUGGAAUUCCAAGUGUAGCGGUGAAAUGCGUAGAGAUGUGGAGGAACACCAGUGGCGAAGGCGGCUUUCUGGUCUGUAACUGACGCUGAGGCGCGAAAGCGUGGGGAGCAAACAGG